rnacentral:lncRNA from 1 species
UCAUGGUCUGAGCUUUGUACCUACCGCUGGCUGAGUUAUUGUGUCCACAGAAGAGAGACUUGGUGAGUGCUUGAAAGGAACUUUCUGGGUUCUUUCUUUUGUUUUUGCUUUUAUUUGUUUGUUUGUUUUCUUUUUUCUUUUCCUUAAGGAAAGUGGCUUCAUUAAAAAUUUUUCUGUCUCAUGAUGUCUCACCGGAUGGUGGGCAUUGAAACCCUCUCAUCAUCCACCUUACUACAGAGAACUGGGCGUGGAGAUUAUAACCCCUCCUAAUUGAGCACCUUUCAGAAAGGUCCAGCUUUCUGCUCAUCUAUAAACCACCUGAGACAAGGGAACAACUGUUCUAUAAGGUUCAAAUCCAGGCCGCUGAAGCUACAGGAGAACUAACAGGCGUGGGCAUCUUAACAAGUCACAUUGCCAUUCGUUAUCUACCAGCCUAGCAAGGUCCUGUGGUGAGAGACCCCGUGGGAACCUUGAUCAUCGGUGAAACAGAAUUCUCUUGCCAACCUUUGCAGCGAGAGAUAGUAGCUAAAUGCUCAGAAUUAAAGAGCAACCCCCAAAACCUGGAAAAGAGUCUAAGUGAACAAAGCCUGCCUGGAAUGGAAGAGCUCUGAGUGAAGAGAGUCAGCACAGAGAAGCAAACAGAGGACCCUGUAAGGACUACUUAUCAAACUGUAAUCAACAACAACCAUUAACAACCAACAACCAACCAACCAACCAACCAACCAACCAACAAUCAACAACUCCACCUCUCAGGGCCCUUUUUUAUAUAUUCCCUGAAAACUUUCCAGAAUUCCAAACACCACACAAUCGCAUAAAACUGUCUUCAAGUGUCAGAAUCAUGCCCCCACCAGAGCUCAAGGAAAAUCAGUCAGCUGCUUCGUACACGCUGAAGCAGCCCCAUGUCCCACACCUGGGAAUAAAAUGAAAGCACGUUCUUUUCUCUGUGUGUGUGUGUGUGUGUGUGUGUGUAUGUGUGUGUAUUUUAAGAAACCAAAAUUCUUACCACAAAAUGAUAUCUGAGUUUGCUUUCUAUUGCUGUGA